UCUUCUUCGAUGUCUCCGACAGUUUACGAACAGGGAAUGCGCGCUGCUCUCUUCGGGUGUACCUACAUGGAAUUAUCCAGCAAAGAUGGCCGCCAUGCUUCAAUGCCGGCUCCGAUUGUGUGUGUAAUACCAACCACAGUAACCAUACCGACAGUGUUUUGAGGUGCAUCAGAGAUUCGUUCCUCGAUACUCUCCUGACAAAAUCCUUCACCGUCCGCGGAUAUUCUGCCCAAAUAUAAGCUGCAAAUACGAGGUGAAGGAAGAGCAGGCGAAGAGACGCGGAGUCUCCAUACGCGAGUGAAGGGUAGCGAAGCUUAGCGAAAUACAUAGAAACAUGGUAGGCCUGGGGGCGGCGAGGUGAGCUAAGCUCGUGAACCACCCUCGAUGCUUACCCUACGGCUGGUAUCCACUCAUUUCCUGAAGCAGCCAUAGGCAACGCCCUGCGCCUAUAGCCAAAGGGCCUAUGAUGUGCCGUGAAUGGGACAUGAACCCAAGCCUAGUCGAAUUAUACCUUGACAAUUGAUAUCUUUUUUCGCAUACGCAACAAAACGUGAGCAGACAAGUAUUACAAGAAAACACAAAGAAUAACAAACAAAACAAAUCAGCAUCGUUAUCGAUAGUAAAGACAUUAUUUUUUGCUUUUUCUCAAAACCCUUCGGCGAAGCCAAAAACCUUGGCAUUCAAGGCCCAUUGGGCCAGUUUCACCGCUAAAUUUAUUCGCGCGUAUAAUUUUUCUGUCGAUUUGCAAUUUCGUUCAACAAAUCGCACCACCAACGAAACUUUUCUUAUUUUCAUUAUCGCACCGAUAUGAUGCAGGAUUCCCGAGUGAACGGGAGUUUCUCGUAAGUUACGAAAUUUCCGGUAUAACCUCGUAACGUGACUAUUUAUACGGCAACAUCCGAAGAGGGUUUACGGAAGCAGAAGUAGUGAAUCUCCGGUCCAAAAGUUUAUCUAUUUUCUUCGUUCACUCAUUUUUUUCCAUAUAUCUCAAGCACUUGAUAUCGUUCAACAGUUUCUCUUCCGCUUCUCGCGCCACGUCUCAACCUAUAAUAAUAAAAAAUACUGUUUCGCUUGCGGAUCAACGCCCUCGGGACUGUGGUUAUAAAUAUAAUUUGUGAAAGAAUUUACUUCGCAGCCUCUGGCAGGUAACUCUCGGACAUCGACUCGCGGUUUUUGACGAUUCGAUUCUUAAAAUUUCGAGUAA